rnacentral:rRNA from 1 species
ACUGACGCUGAGGAGCGAAAGCGUGGGUAGCGAACAGGAUUAGAUACCCUGGUAGUCCACGCCGUAAACGUUGGGCACUAGGUGUGGGAUCUUUCCAACGGAUUCCGUGCCGUAGCUAACGCAUUAAGUGCCCCGCCUGGGGAGUACGGCCGCAAGGCUAAAACUCAAAGGAAUUGACGGGGGUCCGCACAAGCGGCGGAGCAUGUUGCUUAAUUCGAGGCAACGCGAAGAACCUUACCUGGGCUUGACAUGCUGGGAAAAGCCACAGAGAUGUGGUGUCCUUCGGGGCCCAGCACAGGUGGUGCAUGGCUGUCGUCAGCUCGUGUCGUGAGAUGUUGGGUUAAGUCCCGCAACGAGCGCAACCCUUAUCCUAUGUUGCCAGCGCGUAAUGGCGGGGACUCGUGGGAGACUGCCGGGGUCAACUCGGAGGAAGGUGGGGACGACGUCAAGUCAUCAUGCCCCUUAUGUCCAGGGCUGCAAACAUGCUACAAUGGCCGGUACAAAGGGCUGCUAUACCGCGAGGUGGAGCGAAUCCCAUAAAGCCGGUCUCAGUUCGGAUUGAAGUCUGCAACUCGACUUCAUGAAGCUGGAGUCGCUAGUAAUCCCGGAUCAGCAACGCCGGGGUGAAUACGUUCCCGGGCCUUGUACACACCGCCCGUCACACCACGAAAGUCGGCAACACCCGAAGUCAGUGGCCCAACCCGCAAGGGAGGGAGCUGCCGAAGGUGGGGUCAGCGAUUGGGGUGAAGUCGUAACAAGGUAACCAAGGG